CGCAAGCCUGACUCAGCAACGCCGCGUGGAUGAUGACGGCCUUCGGGUUGUAAAAUCCUUUCUGGGGGAAGAUAAUGACGGUACCCCAGGAAUAAGUUCCGGCUAACUACGUGCCAGCAGCCGCGGUAAAACGUAGGGGACAAGCGUUAUCCGGAUUUACUGGGCGUAAAGCGCAUGUAGGUGGCUUGACAAGUUGGACGUGAAAGCUCCCGGCUUAACUGGGAGAGGUCGUUCAAAACUGUCAAGCUUGAGGUUGGAAGAGGAGAGCGGAAUUCCCGGUGUAGUGGUGGAAUGCGUAGAUAUCGGGAGGAACACCAGUGGCGAAAGCGGCUCUCUGGUUCAAUACUGACACUGAGAUGCGAAGGCGUGGGGAGCGAACGGGAUUAGAUACCCCGGUAGUCCACGCUGUAAACGAUGGAUACUAGGUGUAGGGGGCAUUAACCCCCUCUGUGCCGAAGCCAACGCGUUAAGUAUCCCGCCUGGGGACUACGGCCGCAAGGUUA
rnacentral:rRNA from 1 species